GACGAACCGUGCAAACGUUGUUCGGAAUCACUGGGCUUAAAGGGCGCGUAGGCGGCUUAUCAAGUCGGGGGUGAAAUACUUCAGCUUAAUUGGAGAAGUGCCUUCGAUACUGGUGGGCUUGAGGGAGGUAGGGGUCUGUGGAACUUCUGGUGGAGCGGUGAAAUGCGUUGAUAUCAGAAGGAACGCCGGUGGCGAAAGCGACGGACUGGACCUCUUCUGACGCUGAGGCGCGAAAGCUAGGGGAGCAAACGGG
rnacentral:rRNA from 1 species